UACGGAGACUGCAAGCGUUAUUCGGAUUCACUGGGCGUAAAGGGUGCGCAGGUGGCCAAGUGUGUUAGGCGUGAAAGCCCGGGGCUUAACCCCGGAAUUGCACCUAAAACUACAUGGCUAGAGCAUUGGAGAGGGGAGCAGAAUUCACGGUGUAGCAGUGAAAUGCGUAGAUAUCGUGAGGAAUACCAGAGGCGAAGGCGGCGACCUGGGCCAAUACUGACGCUGAGGUGGCGAAAAGCCGUGGGGAGCAAAGCAGG
rnacentral:rRNA from 1 species